UACGUAGGGACCGAGCGUUGUCCGGAUUCAUUGGGCGUAAAGAGCUCGUAGGCGGCUGCUCAAGUCGAAUGUGAAAACUCGAGGCUCAACCUCGAGCCUGCAUUCGAUACUGGGCGGCUAGAGUCUGGUAGGGGGAUCUGGAAUUCCUGGUGUAGCGGUGGAAUGCGCAGAUAUCAGGAGGAACACCGGUGGGGAAGGCGGGAUCCUGGGCCAGUACUGACGCUGAGGAGCGAAAGCGUGGGGAGCAAACAGG
rnacentral:rRNA from 1 species